UUAUGGCCAUAUCACGUUGAAACACCAGCCCUCGUAGGAUCAACGAAGUUAGGCGUUGUCGAGUUUGGUCCGUACCGAAAUGGGUGAUCUCUUGAGAAUACCAGGGGCUGUAAG